GGCCUGUUGAUUAUUUAUAUUAGGUCUUACCUGCUCAAUGGUAUUCACACUAAAUAGCCGCAGUAUUUUGACUGUGCAAAGGUAGCAUAAUCAUUUGUCCUUUAAUUGGGGACUUGUAUGAAUGGUUUGACGAGAUAUUACCUUUCUUUGUAUAAAUUAAUUUAACUUAAUCUUUUAGUUAAAAAGCUAAAAUCAAUUUAGAGGACGAGAAGACCCUAUAGAAUUUUAUUCUUGCUGGUAUAAUUUAUUUUUGGGUAUAUUUAUAUUUUAUUCUUAUGAGAAUUUUGUUGGGGUGACAGGGAAAUUUAUUUAACUUUCUUUAUUUAUAGUUUAUUGAUAUAUAUCUUUAUGAUCCUUAAUUUUGGAUAAUAAGAUUAAAUUACCUUAGGGAUAACAGCGUAAUUUCUUUGGAGAGUUCUUAUCGAUAAAGGAGUUUGCGACCUCGAUGUUGGAUUAAAGUUAGUAUUGGGUGCAGAUGCUCAAUUUACUAGGUCUGUUCGACCUUUAAAAUUUUACAUGAUCUGAGUUCAA
rnacentral:rRNA from 1 species